CAGCCGCCGCGGUAAUACGUAGGUGGCAAGCGUUGUCCGGAAUUAUUGGGCGUAAAGGGCUCGCAGGCGGUUUGUUAAGACAGAUGUGAAAUCCCCGGGCUCAACCUGGGAACUGCAUUUGUGACUGGCAAGCUAGAGUAUGGCAGAGGGGGGUGGAAUUCCGCGUGUAGCAGUGAAAUGCGUAGAUAUGCGGAGGAACACCGAUGGCGAAGGCAGCCCCCUGGGCCAAUACUGACGCUCAUGCACGAAAGCGUGGGGAGCAAACAGGAUUAGAUACCCCCGUAGUCCCUGUCUCUUAUAC
rnacentral:rRNA from 1 species